rnacentral:rRNA from 1 species
AUUGAACGCUGGCGGCAGGCCUAACACAUGCAAGUCGAGCGAGUGGCGGACGGGUGAGUAAUGUAUGGGGAACUGCCUGAUGGAGGGGGAUAACUACUGGAAACGGUAGCUAAUACCGCAUACCAUCAGAUGAACCCAUAUGGGAUUAGCUAGUAGGUGUGGUAACGGCUCACCUAGGCGACGCUCCCUAGCUGGUCUGAGAGGAUGAUCAGCCACACUGGGACUGAGACACGGCCCAGACUCCUACGGGAGGCAGCAGUGGGGAAUAUUGCACAAUGGGCGCAAGCCUGAUGCAGCCAUGCCGCGUGUAUGAAGAAGGCCCUAGGGUUGUAAAGUACUUUCAGUGGGGAGGCGUUACCGGCAGAAGAAGCACCGGCUAACUCCGUGCCAGCAGCCGCGGUAAUAC